AUAAAAAGCACAGUCCAAUUCCCAGCAAACUAUAGCGGCUUGUUUACAGUGACAUUAAUAUAUCAAAUAUGGAUCCAUGUGAUCACCCAAAUGAAACACAGGUCAUAUUGGAGUACACCAAUGGGACUUCCAAAAAAAGUUGUGAGAGGUGCAUUAGAGGAAAUGCAGAACAAGUUCAAAAAGAAAAAGGAAGUAUGAUGCUUAAAUCAAAGAAGGAUGUAGAGAAAAUUCUCAGUAAAAAGCAAUAACUUAAAAAUGUACAGACAUUAAUUUGCUAAUAUAGGCUAUGAAGUUUUAAUGUUGAGUUAAAAACUUAAUAAAAUUA